rnacentral:rRNA from 1 species
CGGACUGUAGGCUGCAACCCGCCUGCACGAAGUUGGAAUUGCUAGUAAUCGUGGAUCAGCAUGCCACGGUGAAUACGUUCCCGGGUCUUGUACACACCGCCCGUCACACCAUGGGAGUCGGUAACACCCGAAGUCAGUAGUCUAACCGCAAGGAGGACGCUGCCGAAGGUGGGAUUGACGACUGGGGUGAAGUCGUAACAAGGUACC